GUCUUGAGGAAAUGCAAAUUAAAAUUACAAUGAAAUAUCAUUGCAUAUCUAUGAUAUUCUUGUCUGAAGUCAAGAAACAGCCGAUAGUGGAUGUGAAACAACUGGAACUCUCAUUCACUGCUGGUGGGCAUGUACAUUUGUACUAUCACUUCGGAAAACCUUCCCGGUAUCUACUAAAGCCAUUAAUACACAUACCCUAUUCUCCAGAAAUUUCACUCCUAAAAUACCUAUCCAACAGAAGGAAAUACGUGUGUGCAACAAGACAUGUGCAAGAGUGCUCAUGACAACACUAUCCCAAACUGGAACAAACCCAAGUUCCCAUCCACAUCUGAGCGCCAAUUAAAUAAUGGAAUUAAAUAUUCACAUGAAGAAUACUAUUUAGCAAUAAAAACCAACAAACUCUUAUACAUACAACAAUGUGAGUGAAUGCACAAAAAGAAUAUUGAAUGAAUGAAACCAGGCACAAAACAAUACAUACUAUAUGGGCUCAUUUUCAUAAAGUUUAAAACAGGCAAAACUAAUCUAUGAUGAUAGAACUCUGAUUUGUGGUUACCUUUGGGGCUAUACAUUGACUGGGAGAAGACAUGAUCUGGGUGGUGGUCACUGUGUGAAAAUGUGUUAAGCUGCAUACUUAUGAUUUAUGUACUUGUCUAUUUGUAGGUCAUACUUCAUUGAAAAGGAGAAAUGAGGGAAGCUUGUAUAAACAAAAUUUUUUUCAACACCAAAAGAAAAAGGAGACUGCUUGAUUCAUGGGAUGCUGUCUGGGGGUCCACCACCUUUAUUGGCAGAGGGGUUUCAUGACCAUGAUGUUACGUCUGCUCAGUUGGAAAACUCCAAUAUGAAUCAAGACAUCAGAGGAAAUGCGUGGUGAUUCUCCAAGAAGACAAGCUCAUGAAGUCAUCAUCAGUGACGGCAAAGGAAAUUAAGGAAAACCAAGACUUGGUGGAGUUUGUACUGAUCUCACAGAGAGAGGGAAAACAGGGAAAGGGUAAUUUGGAGGAGAAAGUGGCAGGUGAACCAUGCAAGUUUGAAGCCCCUUAGCAUAGACAAUUCUUGAAGAGCUGUCCUAUAAAUGGGGGCUGAGAAAUGGGUGCGUACACCUAUGAGUUCGAGUGGCAAGGAGUUUAGACCGAAUAAUUAAAAUGACGGAGCAUGGACUUUAUGCGGAGGAAGCAGAGAAGCCGUCGGCAAAGGGAUGAGUGGGGGGCAGUGGAAAGGCGGGUAGGAUCAACGGAUUGUUGUGUCCUAUGGACUGUCGAAUGCGGCGGCUGGAGUGUUGACUUUUAUUUUGUAGAUUUCAGCAUAUAUACAUGUUAUGUUACAUAAUAUGUUACAUGUUACAUAAUAUGUUACAUAUGUUAUAUAUUAUAUGCAUAUAUACACACACAUAUUCCCAGAGGAAGUUAAACUUAACCUGGUCCCAUACUACACAUAUAAAAUCUGUAUAUACACAUAUGCAUGUAUACACACAUAGACUUGUAUACACACAUAUAUACGUUUGUAUAUAUAAAAAUAUAUACACGUAUUUUUAAUUUCAUAUAUUUCCCCUCCCCUCCAAGAGCCCUUUCUGACCCCUGACUCCCUUCUUUAGCAGGCCCCAAAUGGUUUCCGUGGGUGGAACAUUUCGCUGCGUUUCGGAGGACCUCAGCGCACGUGGUUUCUUCCUCUGCCGCCGCGGCCCACUUGAUCAGUUUCCUCCUAGUUUUGGCCUGGGGCCCUCCCGCCCGGACUCUGCCGGGUCUGCGGGUCGGGGCGGUCUUUUCACCCCGGAGGAGAGAAAGCAGAGGCCGGGACGGUUUAGAAUGCAAAUGCGGGCUGCUUUUGUAGCUGUGCGUUUGUCUGGGAGCCGUGCGUUUGUUUGGGGUGAGAUCACAGCAAAAGGGUUUUGUUUGGCUUUUUAAAUUCUGGGGAGAGCAAAAGAAACUGGAGGAGCGCAGAGCGCGGAAGACCUCCCCGGCGGGAAGGCGGGGCAGGCACGGGCCCAAUGGCAGCAGCUCUCGGCUUCUGCAGGCCUGGUUUGGAAAGGAACCGGGUCAGAAGGGUGUUGAACAUUAACUCCUUGUGGCCUGGCGGAUGGGGAGUUGGGGGUUUCCAAACUGCUCACCACAGAACACGCAGCCCACUAACACUGUAUUUCGUGCUUCCUUUGUGCCACACCCUGGGGACAUUUCCGAAGAGAAAGGUGACGUCCAGUCCUUUCACGUGACUGCAUCUAAGUGUCCUCUGCCAGCAGUGGAUAUUCGGGCACUUCAUCCUCACGACCCUGUGUUGUAGAUAUUACUGUCUCCAUUUUGUGGAUGAGGAAUGGGUUUCUACCUGGGGAGAAUUCUGGACAAAUUUUAACCUGGAUCAGGACAAUAGUGGUAUGGCUGUCUUGACUGUUUUCCUUGCCUCAUGCUACCACAUUGACUGAUGAGACCUCCCUGAAGCUUCUAUAUCGUGAAGAUUUAUCUUAUUCUUAUAGAAGAUUCCCAAUACGUGAAUUCCCAGCAAGUAAACCUGUGACUCAGAGGAGCUGCCCAGCUAUUAUUCUAUGGAACCCAGGGAAAGAAAUCCUAGCUCAGCCACACACAGAGCAGCAUCUAUUGGAAAUGCCUCCUUCUUGGAAAUGGAGUACUGGGUCUUUGCUGGUGCCUGUAUGGUGCUGGAGAGCCAUUGAAGGAUUUUAUGCUAGAACCUCAUGUAAUAGGAUUGGCCUUUGGAAAGAUCUUCCCGGCUGCCAUGUGGAGGCUGGCCCAGAGCUGCACCAUGCGGGAAGCAGGAAGUCUCGUCUCAGAGACCAGCAAGCGGGCCAUGGUGUGAUUUCAGUCAGGGGUGGGGAGGGCCUGAACUAGGAUCGAAGAUGCUAACGUGGAUUUGAGCGCUCACUGGAAGGGAAAGUAUGUGUUGGGUUACUGAAGAGUAGGGAAAAUAAUACAACUUUGACUUAAGAAAUGGACUUUGCUAAACAAAUCUUUUCACAAACUGGUCUCCUAGAAAGGGCUCUGAGGGCACAGCUAACCAAACAACUAUCCUUUCCAGGCAAGAGUUUCCCCACCAGGUGAAUGGUUUGCCAUGUUUCCAAUUCCAGGAACUAGCUGGAAUAACACUUAUGCAAUGAGAAUGCACGAGGCCCACCUCCAGGAGCCUGGCUGGUGGAGAACUUGGCAAGACUGGAGUCCUCUGCGGAGUGGAAACUUCUGCUGCUCUGCUUCAAGGGAACUUUCCUUGGACGGCUGACCUCAGAGGAAGUCAGAACGGGCUGCGUGGAAGGCUGCAUGGGUCUGGGCCUGGAGCCACUGGCAAAGAGGAGCCGGGGAUGGGUGGGAGAGCACAACAGCACUUCAUGAACAAGUCUAUGGUAGAGGAAGCGGAAGACACUAUGUUGGUAGGAAACCCUGCUGUCUUUCCCAGGCAGUGGAUAAAAUGAGGGCUUAGGAGCCAAAAUAGCCUGCUCUGUCACUUCAGCACUGUGUGACACUGGCAAAGUCACUUCUCUGAGACAAGAGUCCUUUUAUGUAAAAUGGAGAUACGUGUAGUACUCACCUUUUAGGUCAUUGCAAGGAUAAGCUAUAAUGAAUGAAAACUGCUCGUACUUUGCUCAGCACCUUCUAGAAAGUCAGUAAGUGGUAGUUACUGAUUGAAGAGUCUUAACUCUCUAACAAAUACAGCUCCCAGAUGGUUGGGGAGGUGGAAGGAAGGUAGAAGGCCAACUAUCAAAUAAAAGGACAAGUAAAGAAUACGCUUAUAACAAUAGAGCCAUGCUCACUUUAUGCAUCUAGGGAUCUAGGGUGAAUAGAGUUUCUGAAUAUUUCCAAACCAAAUCAUUCUUAAAACCUCAAGGAGGUUUCUUAUUUACAGGUGAGUCUUUUUGUAAAACUGAUGCUACUACUGAUGAUAAUACAGUGCUACCAAAUCACCAGAGGCUCUUAGAGGAAAGAGAUUAUUUGCAUAUCUUCAGAAACUCUUUGGCACUCUUUCUUUCUUAUUAAAUAGAAUUGUUUUUUGAAUCCCA